rnacentral:rRNA from 1 species
UGCAGUCGAGGGGUAUAGUUCUUCGGGACUAGAGACCGGCGCACGGGUGCGUAACGCGUAUGCAAUCUACCUUUUACAGAGGGAUAGCCCAGAGAAAUUUGGAUUAAUACCUCAUAGUAUAUAGCCCUGGCAUCAGGAUUAUAUUAAAGUCACAACGGUAAAAGAUGAGCAUGCGUCCCAUUAGCUAGUUGGUAAGGUAACGGCUUACCAAGGCUACGAUGGGUAGGGGUCCUGAGAGGGAGAUCCCCCACACUGGUACUGAGACACGGACCAGACUCCUACGGGAGGCAGCAGUGAGGAAUAUUGGACAAUGGGCGCAAGCCUGAUCCAGCCAUGCCGCGUGCAGGAUGACGGUCCUAUGGAUUGUAAACUGCUUUUAUACGAGAAGAAACACUCCUUCGUGAAGGAGCUUGACGGUAUCGUAAGAAUAAGGAUCGGCUAACUCCGUGCCAGCAGCCGCGGUAAUACGGAGGAUCCAAGCGUUAUCCGGAAUCAUUGGGUUUAAAGGGUCCGUAGGCGGUUUAAUAAGUCAGUGGUGAAAGCCCAUCGCUCAACGGUGGAACGGCCAUUGAUACUGUUAGACUUGAAUUAUUAGGAAGUAACUAGAAUAUGUAGUGUAGCGGUCGAAUGCUUAGAGAUUACAUGGAAUACCAAUUGCGAAGGCAGGUUACUACUAAUUGAUUGACGCUGAUGGACGAAAGCGUGGGUAGCGAACAGGAUUAGAUACCCUGGUA